rnacentral:rRNA from 1 species
UACGUAGGGGGCAAGCGUUGUCCGGAUUUAUUGGGCGUAAAGAGCGUGUAGGCGGCCAGACAGGUCCGUUGUGAAACUACGAGGCUCAACCUCGAGAUGUCGAUGGAAACCGUCUGGCUAGAGUCCGGAAGAGGAGUGUGGAAUCCUGGUGUAGCGGUGAAAUGCGCAGAUAUCGGGAGGACACCUAUGGCGAAGGCAGCUCGCUGGGACGUUACUGACGCUGAGACGCGAAAGCGUGGGGAGCAAACAGGAUGAGAUACCUUGU